rnacentral:misc_RNA from 1 species
GAACGCACAUUGCGCCCUUUGGCAUUCCGAAGGGCAUGCCCGUUCGAGCGUCAUUACACCCCUCAAGCCUGGCUUGGUAUUGGGCGACGGUAGUCUGCCGCGCCUCGAAGUGAUCGGCUGGACGGUUUGAAUCUCAGCGUUGUGGUUUCAUCAAUUCGCUGGCGAGGAUGACCGGACGCGCCGUUAAACCUCAAUCACAGGUUGACCUCGGAUCGGGUAGGGAUACCCGCUGAACUUAAG